rnacentral:rRNA from 1 species
AGAGUUUGAUCCUGGCUCAGGAUGAACGCUGGCGGCGUGUCUAAGGCAUGCAAGUCGAACGGACAAAGUAAUAUAGCAAUAUAAGGCUUUGUUAGUGGCAAACGGGUGAGUAACAUAUUGAUAACCUGCCUCGAAGAUCGGUACAACUCUGCGAAAGCGGAGCUAAUUCCGGAUGUGAUCCUCUUUUUAAUAGAGGGGAUGAAAGCCGUAAGGCACUUUGAGAGGGGUCUAUAUCUCAUCAGCUAGUUGGUAGGGUAAUGGCCUACCAAGGCGACGACGAGUAGCAGGUGUGGGAGCACGGCCUGCCUCACGGGGACUGAGACACUGCCCCGACAUCUACGGAUGGCUGCAGUCAAGAAUCUUCCCCAAUGGACGAAAGUCUGAGGGAGCGACGCCGCGUGCAGGAAGAAGCUCUUCGGGGCGUAAACUGCUUUUAUAUGGGAUCAAAUCUUGAGAGUACCAUAGGAAUAAGGACCUGCUAAACUCGUGCCAGCAGCAGCGGUAAUACGAGUGGUCCAAGCGUUAUCCGGUCUUAUUGGGCGUAAAGGGUCCGCAGGCGGCAAAGUAAGUCCAAUGUUAAAUCCUGGUGCUCAACAUCAGGGCCGCAUUGGAAACUAUUUAGCUAGAGGCUGGGAGAGGCUCAUGGAAUUGUCGGUGUAGCAGUAAAAUGCUUUAAUAUCGACAGGAACACCAAAGGCGAAGGCAUUGAGCUGGAACAGUUCUGACGCUCAGGGACGAAAGCGUGGGGAGCGAAUGGGAUUAGAUACCCCAGUAGUCCACGCCGUAAACGAUGAAUGCUUGGUAUUGGGAGUGUCGACCCUCUCAGUGCCGUUUAUGUAAGGUAACCCCUUAAGUAUCCCGCCUGGGGAGUACGGUCGCAAGGCUAAAACUCAAAGGAAUUGACGGGAACCCGCACAAGCGGUGGAGCAUGUGGUUUAAUUCGACAAUAAGCGAGGAACCUCACCAGGGCUUGACAUGAUGCUGCAAGCGCACGGAAACGUGUGACCUUCGAGGGUGCAUCACAGGUGCUGCAUGGUUGUCGUCAGCUCGUGCCGUAAGGUGUACAGUUAAGUCUGGAAACGAGCGCAACCCCUAUUGCCAGUUACAAGUGUCUGGCGAAACUGCCCCCCACAAGGGGGAGGAAGGUGGGGAUGACGUCAAAUCAGCAUGGCUCUUACGCCCUGGGCGACACACGUGCUACAAUGGGGUGCAACAAUGGGCCGCCAACUCGCAAGAGGGAGCAAAUCCCAUCAAACCACCCCCCAGUUCAGAUUGAGGGCUGCAACUCGCCCUCAUGAAGUAGGAAUCGCUAGUAAUCGCGAAUCAGCCUCGUCGCGGUGAAUACGUUCUCGGGUUUUGUACACACCGCCCGUCACCAGAAUUCUCAAGGCGCCCACCUCGUUCCGGCCCGCGCAUCUGAAGCACGCGGAGCAAUGCAAUUUUAGUAGAAAGGCCAUCUCGGAGAUACAAACCUCU